AUUGAACGCUGGCGGCAUGCUUUACACAUGCAAGUCGAACGGUAACAGGUUAAGCUGACGAGUGGCGAACGGGUGAGUAAUGCAUCGGAACGUGCCCGGUCGUGGGGGAUAACGCAGCGAAAGCUGCGCUAAUACCGCAUACGAUCUGAGGAUGAAAGCGGGGGACCGUAAGGCCUCGCGCGAUCGGAGCGGCCGAUGUCAGAUUAGGUAGUUGGUGGGGUAAAGGCUCACCAAGCCGACGAUCUGUAGCUGGUCUGAGAGGACGACCAGCCACACUGGGACUGAGACACGGCCCAGACUCUUACGGGAGGCAGCAGUGGGGAAUUUUGGACAAUGGGCGAAAGCCUGAUCCAGCAAUGCCGCGUGCAGGAAGAAGGCCUUCGGGUUGUAAACUGCUUUUGUACGGAGCGAAAAGGUCUCCUCUAAUACAGGGGGCUCAUGACGGUACCGUAAGAAUAAGCACCGGCUAACUACGUGCCAGCAGCCGCGGUAA
rnacentral:rRNA from 1 species